CCUACGGGAGGCUGCAGUGGGGAAUAUUGGACAAUGGGGGGAACCCUGAUCCAGCCAUGCCGCGUGUGUGAAGAAGGCCCUCGGGUUGUAAAGCACUUUCAGUGAGGAAGAACGCCUGGUGGUUAAUACCCAUCAGGAAAGACAUCACUCACAGAAGAAGCACCGGCUAACUCCGUGCCAGCAGCCGCGGUAAUACGGAGGGUGCGAGCGUUAAUCGGAAUUACUGGGCGUAAAGCGCGCGUAGGUGGCUUGAUAAGCCGGUUGUGAAAGCCCCGGGCUCAACCUGGGAACGGCAUCCGGAACUGUCAAGCUAGAGUGCAGGAGAGGAAGGUAGAAUUCCCGGUGUAGCGGUGAAAUGCGUAGAGAUCGGUAGGAAUACCAGUGGCGAAGGCGGCCUUCUGGACUGACACUGACACUGAGGUGCGAAAGCGUGGGUAGCAAACAGGAUUAGAUACCCCGGUAGUC
rnacentral:rRNA from 1 species